GGAUGUGAGGGUGAUCUGGCUGCGACAUCUGUCACCCACUGAUCGCCAGGGUUGAUUUGGCUGAUCUGGCUGGCUAGGCAGGUGUCCCCUUCCUCCCUCACCGCUCCAUGUGCAUCCCUCCCAAAGCUGCGCGCUCAGUCGAAGAGGACGACCAUCCCCGAUAGAGGAGGACCAGUCUUCGGUCAAGGGUAUACGAGUAGCUGCGCUCCCCUGCUAGAACCUCCAAACAAGCUCUCAAGGUCUAAUCAUUGGCUUAACCAAACAAAAAAAGUAGAGAUCCUAGAUGAGGCAGGUAUGCCAAGACAG
rnacentral:snRNA from 1 species